rnacentral:rRNA from 1 species
GACGAACGCUGGCGGCGUGCUUAACACAUGCAAGUCGAACGGACAGGCCCUGCUUUUGUGGGGUGCUCGAGUGGCGAGCGGGUGAGUAACACGUGAGUAACCUGCCCUUGACUUUGGGAUAACUUCAGGAAAAUGGGGCUAAUACCGGAUAGGAGCUCCUGCUGCAUGGUGGGGGUUGGUAAGUUUCGGCGGUUGUGGAUGGACUCGCGGCUUAUCAGCUUGUUGGUGGGGUAGUGGCUUACCAAGGCUUUGACGGGUAGCCGGCCUGAGAGGGUGGCCGGGCACAUUGGGCCUGAGAUACGGCCCAGACUCCUACGGGAGGCAGCAGUGGGGAAUAUGGCACAAUGGGCGGAAGCCUGAUGCAGCAACGCCGCGUGCGGGAUGACGGCCUUCGGGUUGUAAACCGCUUUCGCCUGAGACGAAGCGGGAGUGACGGUAAUGGGUAAAGAAGCACCGGCUAACUACGUG